rnacentral:rRNA from 1 species
AUUGAACGCUGGCGGCAGGCUUAACACAUGCAAGUCGAGCGGAGAUGAGGUGCUUGCACCUUAUCUUAGCGGCGGACGGGUGAGUAAUGCUUAGGAAUCUGCCUAUUAGUGGGGGACAACAUUCCGAAAGGAAUGCUAAUACCGCAUACGCCCUACGGGGGAAAGCAGGGGAUCUUCGGACCUUGCGCUAAUAGAUGAGCCUAAGUCGGAUUAGCUAGUUGGUGGGGUAAAGGCCUACCAAGGCGACGAUCUGUAGCGGGUCUGAGAGGAUGACCCGCCACACUGGGACUGGGACACGGCCCAGACUCCUACGGGAGGCAGCAGUGGGGAAUAUUGGACAAUGGGCGGAAGCCUGAUCCAGCCAUGCCGCGUGUGUGAAGAAGGCCUUUUGGUUGUAAAGCGCUUUAAGCGAGGAGGAGGCUACCUGGAUUAAUACUCUAGGAUAGUGGACGUUACUCGCAGAAUAAGCACCGGCUAACUCUGUGCCAGCCGCCGCGGUAACAC